rnacentral:rRNA from 1 species
UACGGAGGGUGCGAGCGUUGUUCGGAUUCAUUGGGCGUAAAGGGUGCGUAGGCGGCGCGGUAAGUCGGGUGUGAAAUCUCGGAGCUUAACUCCGAAACUGCAUUCGAUACUGCCGUGCUUGAGGACUGGAGAGGAGACUGGAAUUUACGGUGUAGCGGUGAAAUGCGUAGAUAUCGUAAGGAAGACCAGUGGCGAAGGCGGGUCUCUGGACAGUUCCUGACGCUGAGGCACGAAGGUCAGGGGAGCAAACGGG